AAUAUUAUACCUAUUCUAUAGGCUUUCUCAAUUAUGAUAAUUUUAGUUUGUCGACGAACUGAUCGAAUUUAGAUUAAUAAUAAAUUUCCAUAGUCGAUCAGGUUUGACCCACUGUGCUCCGUGUUCCCUCACAUAUAACAUCGAAUGCACCGGGUUGCCUUUCUUUUUCAUAGAACCCACUUUUGUGCCACCCGUUAGGUCAAAUCUUGAACGGAGAGGAAAGUCAGACGUCAAAACGAUAAUGACAGCAGAGAAUCAACAAAACAUUAGGUUUGUUCCAGUACACGGAAGUCACUCCGGAGUAAACAGGAGCAAAAAUUUUUUGCUUCUUUUUACUCCGGUUUGCUACCAGAAGAAGAAAAAAGAGAAGAAGAGAGUACAGGAACGAUUCUCUCCGGAGUACUUCCACUUUCUCCUGGUACUGGUACUGUUGAAGAAUGGAUGACCGAAAGUAGGUUUGCUUAUUUCAGAUUAUGUUACCGGGGAAAUCGUCGGGGGUUCAUUGCUUCAGGUGAGUAUAUAUUUUAUAAUUAAAAAGCUUUUUUUUCAGGUUCCCACCCCGAUAUAAGGAUACAGCCUAACCAAAUAAAGGUAAUAAAGAAUGAAAUUAA